rnacentral:lncRNA from 1 species
UGGGGAUUCCUCCGGUUCUGCUGGCUUCAGAGGCUCCUCCUCUGCUUCUACUGCCUUUGGAGGCAAACACCUCCUCUGGUGCCGUCACGAUCGUCGGUGCUUCACCAAAGGCCUCCUUUUUCGGCUCUAUAGCCGGCGCUAUCGGAGUCACCUCCUCUAUGGCCGGUGGAGCGAAGAGGACCAUGGUCAUCUCGAUCACCUCCACAGUCUUGGCCCCAUCCUCGUCCACCACGACGGCCUUCUCUUCCAUUGGUGGCGGUGGAGAAGCCUUCUCCUCGACCACCGCCGUCUUUGGGGGUUCCUCUGGUUCUGCUGGCUUUAGGGGCUCCUCCUCUGCUUCUAUGCCUUUGGAGGCUCCUCCAACUCCCACUCGGUCGAAGCAGGGGCGACUGGCUCCUCGACCUUGGCCUCCUCCUCCUCUGGCACGGCGACG